rnacentral:tRNA from 1 species
GCAUUGGUGAUUUGGUGGUAGAAUUCUCACAUUUAAUGCAAGAGACUUGGGUUUGAUUCUUGACCAAUGCG